UAAAUCAACAUAUUGAUUUAUAAGCAUGGAAAUCCCCUGAGUGAAACAACGAAUUGCUGUGUGUAGUCUUUGCCCAUCUCCCACGAUGGGCUUUUUUUUGU
rnacentral:other from 1 species